AGGCCCCUUCCUUUUCCCCCUCAGCCGCUUAAGCGGCUGAGGGGGAAAAGGAAAGGGCCUGAGGCUCUUAGGAAUGGUGGGAGUUGGAGUCCAAAAAAUCUGGAGGGCCCAAGUUUGCCCAUGCCUGCUGUAAACUACAAACAUCAGGAUCCCACCCAGUGUUGACAUGGAAGUUGGGAGUGGAACCAUACCUCUAGAAAGGUGUAGUGUGAUAAGGGCCUUGUCGGAACACAGGUUUUAUUUCGUGUUGGAAGCAUUGCAUCAAUAAGCAGGGCAUUGUGGGCAAGCAUACUGAUGUCUCUACAGGCCAAUGAAUACUCCACCACAGACAUCAGAAGAGCUGCAAGGCCAAAAACAAGCCAGGAGAGUCAAGACAAAGAUCCACCCAGAGAAAAACUGUUCUUACCAUACAUCAAGGGGACCGCUGAAUGCGUAAGGAAGACGAUGAAGAACACAACCUACAAACUAUCUACAGACCCACUAAGAAAAUCCAACAAAUUCCCCGUUCAGCUAAGGACAAGAGGGAUCCUCUCACCUCUGCAGGAGUCUACUGUAUACCAGGCAGCUGUGGACAUGUCUACAUAGGGACCUCCAAAUGCAGCAUUGCCAAACACAAAUCAGGGAACAGGAAAGGCACAGCAGACUAAAUCGGCCAGAGAAGUCAAUCCUUGAUGAAGCAACCUGGACACAGCAUAUUAUUUGAGAACACAGAAAUGCUGGACCACUCAAACAACCACCAUGUCAGACUACACAGAGAAGCCAUUAAAAUCCACAAACUGGACAAUUUCAAUAGAAAGGAGGAAACGAUGAAAAUGCACAAAUUCUGACUACAAAUGUGUUUUUUUUAAACUCUAAAAUCAGGACAGUAAACGAAGAACAACACUCUGAAAAUGGGAAUUCCAGACAUGAAACAAUCAGGGCCAGCUAACACCUCUCAACAAAGGAUUCCUCCAGGCAGGAAGAAGCCAGACUUUGAAGCUGAAAGGCCUUUCAGUGCUAAUGAAUGCUGACCAAUUGCACCAUUCACACUUGCCUCAAGCAGACAAGAGUUCUUUCUCUCAUCCUGGAUUUUCCACAGAUAUAUAAACCUAAUUUGCCUAGUUUCCAACAGACCUCACAACCUCUGAGGAUGCCUGCCAUAGAUGUGGGUGAAGCCUUAGGAGAGAAUGCUUCUGGAACAUGGCCAUACAGCCCAGAAAACUCAGCAACCCGAUGUUUGUUUUUCCUGCUCCACAGUUGCACAAGGUAUAGGAUUCUUCUAGGUAAUGCCAUUUUGCCAGGUUGUCUUUUGAUCUGCCAACUCCAUUUCUGAGUCUGUUCAGGGACCUCCACUUGGUUUGCCCCUGGAGGCAGACCCUUGUGGGCGGCCAUCCAGUCUGAUUUUGCUGCCCACAAUUGGCAGCAACUUCCCAUCGCACAUGGGGGGGGGGGGGGGAGUGCCAGCUAGUUUAUAAAGUCUAUCAACAGGUGUAGGUUUAAGACAGCCUGUGAUUAUUCUGCACAUUUCAUUCAGUGCUAUAUUCACCUGCUUCGUGUGAGCAGAAUUAUGUUAGAUGGCAGGCAUACUCAGCAGUUAAGUAAGACAAGGACACAGGUUGCGAAAUGUUUUCUCCACUGAAUCUAUGCAUUCAAGAUUUCUAGGUCAGGUUUUGCAACGUGAUGGCUUCCUUGAUUGGAUCCAUCCAUCUGGAAUGUGGCCUUCCUUUUUCCUACUUCUAUCUUUAAUAAGCAUUAUUUAGAGUUCAAGUUGGAUUUAUUUAAUAACUCAUUUAGUUGUCAUUUUAGCUGUUCUGCAGCACUCUCCUCCAGCCCCAGCUUUCAAAUGAAUUUAUUCUCUUCCUAUCCGCUUUCCUCACUUUUCAGCUUUCACAAUAAUAAAGAGAAAUGGGAGAUACAACAGCAUGGACCUCCUAUUUUUUAGUAUUCAAUUAUAUAUAUUUAAACUUCAGGGUCUUGCUUGUUCCUACAUAGACACAAUCCCAAAUCCUGGUCUUCUGAUGUGUUGACUGCUGUCUCCAUUCUGGUUAACAACUGUAGUGAAAACAUGGAAUUUUUGUUUUUCAAUAUCUUUAUGCUUUGCAUUAAAAUUAUGUAGAUAAACUGCAGCAAAUAUUUUUGUUUUCUUCAUGUUGCACUGUAAAUCUGCCUUUUUGCCUUGCAUUUCUUCACGAAUUGCUCCAAGCCUUUGCUAUGGUGACACCUAUGCCUCUUAUAUCGUUAAUGUGAUUUCCUGUGGGUUUUAUGCUUCCUUUCUCAAAGUCUAACCCUGCUUUACAAAUAAUGUAUUCCACAUUCCAGUUAAAAAGAUAAAGUAAUAAAAUGCAGCCUUUCUGGCCAUCUUGCCAACUGGAAACCAUUUAUUCUCUAUUUAUUUGUUAUGUUCUAACAGUAUCCUCUUGUUGUGAUACACAUACAGGAUACACAUUAGGCAAUUAAUUUGGUGGCAUGUCUAUACCUUUAAGAGUAGCCCAUACUUUUUAUUAUCUACAUUACUAUUAUUAUAUACAAUUUAUAAUUAUAAAGCACAGACUGAUUUAGUUUUGAAAUUAUUUGGUGCCUUCCAUUAUCCAGUAUGUCUGCAAUAUGAUCAGUGGUGCCUCUUCCUUUCCUGAACCCAUCUUGGAUAUCUGGCAUUUUUGCUCCAUAUACUGUAUUUCUUUAACUUCACUUGCAUUGCAAGUUAGUGCAAUUAUCCUAUGGUUACUGCAAUCCCUGGUGUCUUUUUUCUUGAGAAAUGGAAUGUAUAUUGAACAUUUCAUAUCUGUGGGCAAUUGUUUUGUUUUACAUAUUUGUUGACAGGUUUUAGUUAAGACUAGAUUCAGUCUCUGAUGGCUUCCACUUCACUUUCUAAAAUUGGCAGUUAAUCUUCAUAUAGUUCUUCCUUUCAUCUCUUUUAUCUAUGUAAAUAUAUACAUUCCAUGUAUUGUUUGAAUAUUUAAUAGUCUUACUAUUUCAAAUAUUGACUAUGGAUUUUUUGCGAAUCCUAUGUGAUUUGAAAGAUUAUAGAAGGGAUUAUUAAAAAGAGAGUUUAUUGUUUCUUUUUUUCCAGCGGAUAGGAAAAGUUUUCUGGUUAACAGUUGCUUGUCACAGCUGACUGAAAUAAAUACAUUCCUAGAAUACCGGAUAUUUUAAACAUUUACUUACGUUUCAAGCCAGGUGAUCUCAAGCUAUUUAGAAUUAUACGGUCUGCUUAAAGGAAGGAUGCCUGAAAUCUGCGACAAAAUACACUGAUACCAGAUAUUCCUGCAAUUCAGAGAUGGCAUCUUCGCAGUGCCUGGUCUCAGUAGAAACUGGCCUGGUUGGAAGGAUCCAUUACCCUCAAAAGUUAUGGAGAUAUUUUUGUAUAUGCCUGAAAGCUAUAGGUGGUAAUAAAAGAGAAAGAAGAAUAAAAAUUGUACAUUCAAAUGCUUC